rnacentral:rRNA from 1 species
UAUGUAGGGUGCUAGCGUUGUUCGGAAUCACUGGGCGUAAAGGGAGUGUAGGCGGGAUCGUAAGUUAGGAGUUUAAUGCAUGGGCUUAACCCAUGAUCUGCUUUUAAUACUGCGGUUCUUGAGUAUGGGAGAGGGCGAUGGAAUUCCAGGUGUAGCGGUGGAAUGCGUAGAUAUCUGGAAGAACACCAGUAGCGAAGGCGGUCGCCUGGCCCAAUACUGACGCUGAUGCUCGAAAGCUAGGGGAGCAAACAGG